CUUUNAAAGCAUCCCAACGCUUGGCUAUGGUCUCCUUAAAAUCUUCCUUGUGCUUAUUUUUUACAGUAACAACUGAUCUGACCUUGAAUUUCACCGCUUUAUCAGGCACCACUUUUACCAAAUCCAACUUAUCACUGAUUGCAGCGACAAGAGUAGGAACCUUUGAUGCUCUUUUCUCCUGAAAUCUCUUUCUUUUGGCAGGAACCAGAACCGUAUUAAAACAGAACUGGUUGUGCUUUCGAUAUACAAGAAAAUUUGAUGAACCAAGAAAUGAAGAUUUCUGCAUUAAAGAAAAGCCCAUGAUUUCUUUAGUCAGUGCCAUCUAUGAUUCUUGAUUUCAAUUGGUGGGUUCCCGAAUUUAUCCUUUCUUUCAGUGGGCGUUUUCUUUCGAAGAGGCUAGGGAGGUUACAGAAUUCAGAGGCUGAUCGUGAACUGGGGUAUACGUAUAGUGAAAUUGGUAUAUAUAGAGAGAUAUAGAGAUAUGACAAAAAAAUGACAUCACCGACCACAAAGUCACUAAUUUUCUUAAUUGGUUAUUUAAAAAUAAUGUGAUUGUCGUGUUACAUAUUCACAUGAGUUUUCAAUGGCUGCUGGGUCAAAACGAGUUUCAAGUUUCCCAGUAACAACGCGGUGUGGGAAGCUAAACAGAAA
rnacentral:lncRNA from 1 species